rnacentral:rRNA from 1 species
UGUGUCGCCAGACGCAUUGCCGGGUAGCUAAGUGCGGAAGAGAUAAGUGCUGAAAGCAUCUAAGCACGAAACUUGCCAAGAGAUGAGUUCUCCCUGUCUUUAAGACAGUAAGGGUUGUUUAAGACUAAGACGUAGAUAGGUCUGGUGUGUAAGCGGUGCGAGCCGUUGAGCUAACAGGUACUAAUUGCCCGAGAGGCUUAACUAUACAACGCUCAAGGGUUUUG